rnacentral:rRNA from 1 species
CCUUCGGGGGGUGAGUUAGUGAAAUGAGCGGCGGACGGGUGAGUAACACGUGGGCAACCUGCCUGUAAGACUGGGAUAACUCCGGGAAACCGGUGCUAAUACCGGAUAAUACUUUUACUCUCAUGAGUUUAAGUUGAAAGGUGGCUUUUAGCUAUCACUUACAGAUGGCCCCGCGGCGCAGUAGCUAGUUUGGUGGGGUAACGGCCUACCAAGGCGACGAUGCGUAGCCGACCUGAGAGGGUGAUCGGCCACACUGGGACUGAGACACGGCCCAGACUCCUACGGGAGGCAGCAGUAGGGAAUCUUCCGCAAUGGACGAAAGUCUGACGGAGCAACGCCGCGUGAACGAUGAAGGCUUUCGGGUCGUAAAGUUCUGUUGUUAGGGAAGAACAAGUGCCGUUCGAAUAGGUCGGCACCUUGACGGUACCUAACGAGGAAGCCCCGGCUAACUACGUGCCAGCAGCCGCGGUAAUACGUAGGGGGGCAAGCGUUGUCCGGAAUUAUUGGGCGUAAAGCGCGCGCAGGCGGUUCCUUAAGUCUGAUGUGAAAGCCCACGGCUUAACCGUGGAGGGUCAUUGAAAAACUGGGGAACUUGAAGUACAGAAGAGGAGAGUGGAAUUCCACGUGUAGCGGUGAAAUGCGUAGAUAUGUGGAGGAACACCAGUGGCGAAGGCGACUCUCUGGUCUGUAACUGACGCUGAGGCGCGAAAGCGUGGGGAG